rnacentral:rRNA from 1 species
UACGUAGGGUGCAAGCGUUGUCCGGAAUUAUUGGGCGUAAAGAGCUCGUAGGCGGUCUGUCGCGUCUGCUGUGAAAACUCAGGGCUUAACCCUGAGCUUGCAGUGGAUACGGGCAGACUAGAGGUAGGUAGGGGAGAAUGGAAUUCCCGGUGUAGCGGUGAAAUGCGCAGAUAUCGGGAGGAACACCGGUGGCGAAGGCGGUUCUCUGGGCCUUACCUGACGCUGAGGAGCGAAAGCGUGGGGAGCGAACAGG